AGAUGCUGAUGUGGUGAAGAUGGCCAGUAAAGCACAAGCCUCCAACCCAGUUGUCGAGGGACAACCACCCACAACACCAAAGAGGCGAAGAAGAGGAAGGCCCCCUCUCAACCAAGAUUCAGAAGCCCUCUGAAGAUUCCCAAGACAACCCGGAAGGGAAAAGAGAGUCUUUGAGGGAGUUCCAGGAAAAAAGCCACUCCCGAAAGACCGCCGCUUCAAGAAAACCUGAGGAAGGGAGAGGGCCAACGCUAUCCAGCCACUCUGACCAGCUGAACGAGGAACUCAAUCAAAAGGAGCCACAGCAGGACCAGGAAAGUGAGGAGACUUCCACCAUCUCCAGCGUCUCCCUGGACAGCCAGUAAUUUCAGGGCAAGUUCAAAGGACUAGAUCUAUCUGAGAGGUCUCCAUAGGUCUAACCCCAGAGAAAUAGCCAAAAGGGUCUAUGGUACAUUUUACACACAACAGGGUACCCCUCAUGGUGAUGAAAAUAAAAUGAACCUGUUGUAAAAUGA
rnacentral:lncRNA from 1 species